UGAAAAUUUCGACUGCGCCUUUGAGUCCGGAAUGUCGACUUUGGUAGGGUAGCAUAUCCAUUUUAUUCUUAGCAGGUUCCGAACGAAUUCCGAGCACCCGUCGGAGACUUUAAAGAAAGUAGGCAAAGCUGAAUCUGGUGCAGCCCCUAUAAAAACCCAACUUUCAGCUUUGUAUCUUACUUUAGAAUCUUGAUAUCUUGAGCUAUACAACUCCAAAUUGGGCGAUUCAAAAGGCUAAGUUGUGAGAUUUUUCGAGGGCAACGCAUUGGUGAGCUUGGAAUCUGAUUUGGGGACCCGAUUUGAGGUAAAUUUUGGGUUUUAACUGCUGUCUAGCUCAUUUUCGAGCACAAGUUUUGGGUUUUUUUAGAAGGUGAUUUCUUGGCCAUUUUAGGUCCGAAUCAAGUGAUUCAAGAGCCAAUAUUGUGUGGUUUUUCAUGAGGAUCGUCGUGGUGUGGUUGGUUUUGGCUGUUGGAGCUUCAUUUUUGGUAAAAUCUUGUAAGUAGCUGCUGCCAUAGUUGCUGAUUUUUAGCUUAGAAUUUGGGUUCUUUUGUUGCAUGUUCAUGUUGGGACUGUUUUUAGUCCUGAAUUAUGCUCCAUUAUGGUAUACAAGUUUCGAGAGUUAUUUAGGACUUUUAUUUGGGGUUAAUUCGGGAUUUCUCAAUGCGGAUCCCACUUUUUCCAUUUUGACCAUGAAAUUGACCCGUCUCCGUUUCUUGCGAUUUUAGUGUAUCAACGUUUCGAGGCCUUUUAGAAAGUAAAAGAUCCGGGGAGUGAAUUUUGGAGCGCGCGUGAUCUGCGUUCAGGUCCGAGCACCGGUAGUCAGCGUUGAUCGAGUUUGGAGAAUUUCUGGUCUGGAGACAGGGGUGAGCACACAACGUUUUGUACUAUUUCAGUCUCCAUCUGUUUAUAUAAAGAUUUGUAUUUAAUUUUUCGAGACAGUCUAGUUUCGGUGGUCCACUGUUGGGACUUGUACUCAUUUUGUUGGUAGCUCUGUAUUAGUGACUUCCAGGUUCUGGGAGGGAUCCUUUAUUGUA